rnacentral:rRNA from 1 species
UACGAAGGGGGCUAGCGUUGCUCGGAAUUACUGGGCGUAAAGGGCGCGUAGGCGGACGGCUUUGUCGGGCGUGAAAUUCCAGGGCUUAACCUUGGGGCUGCGUUCGAGACGGGUUGUCUAGAGUUUGGAAGAGGGUAGUGGAAUUCCCAGUGUAGAGGUGAAAUUCGUAGAUAUUGGGAAGAACACCGGUGGCGAAGGCGGCGACCUGGUCCUUGACUGACGCUGAGGCGCGAAAGCGUGGGGAGCAAACAGG